rnacentral:rRNA from 1 species
CCUACGGGUGGCAGCAGUGAGGAAUAUUGGUCAAUGGCCGGAAGGCUGAACCAGCCAAGCCGCGUGAAGGACGAAGGUGUCAAGCAUUGUAAACUUCUUUUGUCAAGGGACAAAAUCAGGCUCGAGAGCCUGACCGAGGGUACUUGAAGAAAAAGCAUCGGCUAACACCGUGCCAGCAGCCGCGGUAAUACGGGGGAGGGGAGCGUUACCGGGUUUUAUGGGGUUUAAGGGGGGGGAAGGCGGACUGUUAGGUCAGCGGUAAAGGCCCGGGGCUCAACCCCGGCGAGCCGUUGAAAUGGGCUGUCUUGAGAUGUCGAGAGGUAUGCGGAAUGCGCAGUGUAGCGGUGAAAUGCUUAGAUAUUGCGCAGAACUCCGAUUGCGAAGGCAGCAUACCGGCGGCGAUCUGACGCUGAGGCACGAAAGCGUGGGUAUCGAACAGGAUUAGAUACCCUAGUAGUC